rnacentral:rRNA from 1 species
AUUGAACGCUGGCGGCAGGCCUAACACAUGCAAGUCGAACGAGUGGCGGACGGGUGAGUAAUGUCUGGGAAACUGCCUGAUGGAGGGGGAUAACUCCUGGAAACGGUAGCUAAUACCGCAUACCAUCAGAUGUGCCCAGAUGGGAUUAGCUAGUUGGUGGGGUAACGGCUCCCCAAGGCGACGGUCCCUAGCUGGUCUGAGAGGAUGACCGGCAACACUGGAACUGUGACACGGUCCAGAUUCCUAGGGGAGGAGGCAGUGGGGAAUAUUGCACAAUGGGCGCAAGCCUGAUGCAGCAAUGCCGCGUGGAUGAAGAAGGUGUUCGGGUUUUAAAGUACUUUCAGCGGGGAGGCGUUACCCAAAGAGGAAGCACCGGCUAACUCCGUGCCAGCAGCCGCGGUAAUUC